rnacentral:misc_RNA from 1 species
AAAGAAGAUAAGCAGGUGAUAAAAGGCCACAACAUGUGGACAAGAUGCAAGUUGUAACCCAGUGAGUCAAAGAAAAAAAAAUGAAAAGACCAAGUCGAAACAUAGCAAAUUUGUACUUCAUUUUGUGAUGGCAAUUUGGUUUCAAUUGAACAUCAUUACCAUCUGAGGCAGAUUCCGAAUUUUCUACCAAUUCAACAGUAAAA